rnacentral:misc_RNA from 1 species
AACGCACCUUGCGCCCCUUGGCAUUCCGAGGGGCACACCCGUUUGAGUGUCGUGAAAUUUUCAACCCUCCCUCCUUUUCUUUUUGAAUGUGGGGGAAGGGCUUGGACUCUGGAGGCUUUUGCUGGCCUCUUACUUUUGAAGCCAGCUCCUCUCAAACGCAUUAGCAGGGUCUAUGGUCGGAUCCCUAAGACGUGAUAAGCUUUAUUCUAUGUCUCGGGUUUUUGGCUCUGCCUGCUCCCAAUCGUCUCGUUAUUUAGAGACAAGAAAAACCCCCCUUUGACCUCAAAUCGGGUGAGACUACCCGCUGAACUUAA